rnacentral:rRNA from 1 species
AGUUUUUUAAUUUAAUAAAAGAUAAAAUCUGCCCAAUCAAAGUUUAAAUUUUAAAGGCCGCACUAUAUUGACUGUGCAAAGGUAGCAUAAUCAAUAGAUUUUUAAUUGAAAUCUAGAAUGAAUGAUUAAAUGAAAUAAAAUCUUUUUUAAUUUUAAUAUUUGAAUUUUAUAUAUUAGUAAAAAAUCUAAUUUAAUAAAAAGGGACGAGAAGACCCUAUAGAAUUUUAUAAAUUUUAUUAAUUUAUUAUUUUUAUUUAUUUAAUUAUUUAAAGGUUUAUUUUGUUGGGGAGAUAUUUAAAUUUUUAAAACUUUAAUUUAAAAAAAUUCAUUUUAUAAUUGUUUAUAUGAUCUUUUUUUAUGGAUUAAAAAAUUAAAUUACCUUAGGGAUAACAGCAUAAUAAUUUUUAUAAGUUCUUAUUAUAAAAAUAGUUUAUGACCUCGAUGUUGAAUUAAAAUAAUUAUUAUAUGAAGGGAUAUAAUAAAUAAGUCUGUUCGACUUUUAAAUUUUUACAUGAUUUGAGUUCAAAUCGGUGUAAG